GUAGGGAAUAUUGCACAAUGGGGGAAACCCUGAUGCAGCGACACCGCGUGAGUGAUGAAGGCCUUCGGGUCGUAAAGCUCUGUCGUAUGGGACUAACACAAUGAAGGUACCAUGCAAGAAAGGAUCGGCUAACUUCGUGCCAGCAGCCGCGGUAAGACGAGGGAUCCUAGCGUUGUUCGGAAUCAUUGGGCGUAAAGCGGGUGUAGGCGGAUUUAUAAGUCAGGUGUGAAAUCCCAGGGCUCAACCCUGGAAGUGCACUUGAUACUGUAAAUCUUGAGUGUGGUAGAUGUUACUGGAAUUGUUUGUGUAGUGGUGAAAUACGUAGAUAUCAACAGGAAUACCGGAGGCGAAGGCGAGUAACUGGGCCAACACUGACGCUGAGACCCGAAAGCGUGGGGAUCAAACAGGAUUAGAAACCCCGGUAGUCC
rnacentral:rRNA from 1 species